rnacentral:tRNA from 1 species
ACUCAGAUGGUAAAGUAUCUGCCUACAGUGCAGGAAACCCAGGUUCAAUUCCUGG